UGGGGGAUUUUGGACAAUGGGCGAAAGCCUGAUCCAGCAAUGCCGCGUGUGUGAAGAAGGCCUUCGGGUUGUAAAGCACUUUUGUCCGGAAAGAAAACCUCUGGGAUAAUACCCCGGGGGGAUGACGGUACCGGAAGAAUAAGCACCGGCUAACUACGUGCCAGCAGCCGCGGUAAUACGUAGGGUGCAAGCGUUAAUCGGAAUUACUGGGCGUAAAGCGUGCGCAGGCGGUCCGCUAAGACAGAUGUGAAAUCCCCGGGCUUAACCUGGGAACUGCAUUUGUGACUGGCGGGCUAGAGUAUGGCAGAGGGGAGUAGAAUUCCACGUGUAGCAGUGAAAUGCGUAGAGAUGUGGAGGAAUACCGAUGGCGAAGGCAGCCCCCUG
rnacentral:rRNA from 1 species